GAGAGGAGCGACUGAACUCCAAAUACUGCUCAGCAGCCUCCAGCUGACAGGCUAUUUUUUGCCAUGGUUGACUAAAUAUGGUCAGGGAGGAAAGAGCACGAGCAGGGGCCGCUCGCCCGGUGAGAUUGGCUAUAAGGAGAAGGCUGACGGCUGCAGCAUGAAGCGCAUUAUUACCUUGUGAUUCCAUGACCCUCCUCUAUGCAUCCCUAACUCUCGAAAGCUGAUUCAGCUUUCAGCUAGUGCUCUGGUGAGUCCUCUGCUGCAACAGAAGCUCCUAACUGGUAUGUCUCUUUUUUUCCUUCCCCUCUUCUGCUCCCUUUCUUCCCUCUAACUGCACUAGCUCAGCUCGUUUUUAAACACUUUUCUGACCGAUGCAGGACUGAGUGCCCAUCCAACUUACCCGGGGACUUAAAUGUCUGCUUUUGCAUCCGGCAAAUGUGUGUGUGCUGCGUGUGUGUGUGUCUGUGUGGGGAUGUGCCGGCUGCCUCUAAUCCAUGGAUGAGUUGGGAGACCUUCCCCCCACCUUUAUUCUUUUUUGUUGUUGUUGUUCUGCUGUGGCAUACUCUGCAUUUAAAGGGGGGGAAAAAAAAAAGGAACAAACUGCAGAGCAAGCAGUGCACUAUAAUAAUCUGAACUGAAAUGUUAGAACUUUGACAUGCAGCCGUUCUGCAAGGUUAAACUGGCCUUUAAAUGCCUAAUUCAGAGCCAGGCUGGCUAAUGACACCUAGGGGGAUUGGGGCUUCAUUUAUUUAUUUGCACCAAACUAGUGGCUCUGAGCUAAUACCAAACAGAGCAAAAGGGUGAAAUGUGGUUAAACUUAGCCUAACUUGCAGUGAUCUCAGUGCUGCGGUGAUUAACUGUUCCAAUGCCGAGAACUGAGCGUUAAUUGCGGACGCAUGGCUUGUGGGCAAUCAGAAAGGAGAUGCAAGGAGAAGUUAGGUUUUCCCUGCAAGGGGUUUGAAUUCAGGUUACACUUCAUCCAUCAAUCGGCUGUUAUUGCUUUUGCAGCUGAGAGUUAGCUGUGGUCAUUAUAUUUUAUAUGAUAGUGGUGAUACCUGAUCACAUAAAUGUAUAUGCAUUGGUAUUGUGUGAGGGGUACUGUGUUAUAUACACGCAUGCACACAAACUGGGAUAUCUUUUAUAGCAUGCAUAUGUAUAUUUUACACGGCUUUAUACAGAGAUAUUAAAUGCUAUUAUAAACAGGUGUAGCACAUGAUCCCAAUUCAAUGCACCUUCAGUCUGUGCUUGGAGUAUGGCUAUUUGCAUAUGUCUGUGCUGGAGAGAGUGUGCACUCAGCAGUCGUGUGUAAUUGUGGAGGCAGAGCCCUGUGAUCUGGCUGGCAGUUUAAUUGCUGGUUCCCUGGUGCGGGUGGCCAUGCUGCCGCCCCAAAGGACUGAGCCUGGUCCAUUCCCUGCAGCUCGGCCCUGCUGGCUUUCCUUGGCUGUGCCCAGCCCCAAACCAGGCUGCCUCCAAGUCCCUGAAGUUUUGCACUGCACAGCCACAGCCUGACUUUGCCACCGGGACUGGAGGAGCUCCUCCAGAAUGGGAUAGAGGGAGCAGGUGUACAGCAUCAUGCUUCCAUCCUUCCCACUCCCUCCAUCCCUCCAUCUCCAUCCUUCCCUUUUAUUUGCUCCUUGCACUCUGCACUAUCCACAUUCCCAUGCAUUUUUCCCCCCACAACAACCACAAUUUUAUUGUGCAGCUUUUUCUGCUCUGGGUGAGCCGAGGUGUGUGGAGGAUGCUGGGCGAUGCUCGCCCACCACCCAUUACUCCUGGUGCUCACUGUAGGAUGUGGACCACAAAGUGCCUCUGGCGUCACCAUUAAAUCACCACCACGCCGCAUGUCUGCUCCUCCACCAGCAGGGCCAACCCUACAACUCACGGGCAGAUUGAAAUCUAGAUCCACCGCCUUUCUGGGAGCAACCAACAGAUGAACCUCCCUGCUGCGGUUGUUCCACUGUCUUCAAUAUUUGUAAGGAUUUUAUGUGCCGUCUUUUAGUUCCCUGUAGUUGGCUGGCAUCCCCUUCUCCUGCUCAUCUGCAGAAGUUUGGGACAGUUCAGGACAGUCCAUGGCAGGUGGAUUUCAGGAAAGCAAAUCGGGAGUGAGGUGAAAUGUGCAAUGGUCCAAGACGUCAAGUAGCUGUUCUGUUCCGUUGCUUGGCCUGUUGGUGUUUGUCUGAGGGGAAUUCAACAUGGCCAAGCGACUUGGCCAUGUGAAACCCACCUGAACUCAGUUCUUUGUGGGCUUUUGAGGAAUUCUUUUUAGAAUCGGAGCACCCAGGCUUUCCCUCACGCUCCUCUCCCUUCACUUUAAUUUCACUGCAGUCAUGCAUUAUCAUGGUGCCACAGCUCCAUCUCUCUUCCCAUUACUCCAAACCAGUGGUGGAAAUUUGCCUCAAAAUGAGACAAAUGACGACAUUUAGUGGGGCCAGAAGCCCUGUGGCAGUGAGGAAGGGCACAGUGCCGAACCAGCACUGGGCUCACACCCACUCUGCUGCGUGGUGCGUGGCACUGAGGGGUUGGGGCGAGCCCAUGGGUUUGCACCCCGGCUCUGCGGGGCUUUGCAGCCUGAUGGUGUGGAAGUCAAUCAGCACAGGGAAGUAUUUACUCCCACUCUCCCAGUGAUAUAUUUCACAAAGCAGCGGAAAAAAAACAAACAAAAAACCAACAAAACAAAAAAAAAAACCACCCAACACAUCGAUACAAUUAAGUAUUCCAAAGUGCUUACUUUGCCACUUGCUAAGUUUACUUAAACCCUCUUUAAAGGCUUCAUUAGAAACCGGUGAGAAAUGGCCAAAUUCAUUAGCGUCGAGGCAGGCGUUGUGCAUUUCGCCUGCAAAUUGCAAUCGAGCGGCGGCGGGGCGAGGGGCGCAGGUGAGCGCACACCCGCUGUGCUGAGCGAGCGGCAGCGCCCGCCGUGACCUCCGGAAUGCCGCCCUGCAUUCAGCCCAGCCACAUUGUUCCGGAGCUUUAAAGCUCAGCGUGGCUGCUGGCGGAGGGCAGAGGCAACGGGAACUGAUGGCUGCGUGUGGGGAUGAGCCCCACGGGGACAACUCCGAAAGACUUUUUUGGCCUAAGCCACCAGCACGGGGCUGGGGCUGCUUUUUAGUUUGCAUCUCUGCUGGUGUCUACCCCAGGUGUGGGGCUCCGCUGGAUGACUUGUGAAAAGCGAAUUGUUUUUUAUAUACGUUUUUUGAAUACCCCGAAAUCCCCCGCCCUUCUCCCAAGGUAUAUUGGGGAUUGUUUGCUGCAAGGUAGUGUCACACUCACGGUGACCAGCAGAGGAAAAAUCACUGGAUUCUUUAGGUAAGAUGCUUUCUUCUUCCUAUGCCUUAAUCUCUACUUAGUGCUGGAAGCGAUGGCGUGUCUGUAGCUGGUGAGUUCUCUUGCUCUGCCAGAUGGAGCACUUCUUGCUGGUGUUGCUUUGUAAAUCAGUGCCGGAUGCUGGAUUUUGGCUUUCUGAAAGCAAAUUGGCUUCUUGUUUCUAAAUUGCAGGAUGGAGGCGAUCGGGAUUUGAUAUCUACUUAACCUCCACCCACAUGGCUUUGUCUAAAUCUAUAUACACACACAUAUAUAUAUGCAUAUAUAUAUAUAUAUACACAGAAAGCAAAUUCCUUCAACUAAAGCCUUUUUAAUUGCUGAAAGUUUGCAAUUUCAGUGAAAGCAUCCUCUUUGUAGGGGGGCUGGGAGUGGGGCUUUUCCUCUGUGCCAUUCCAUGACAAAGUGCUGCAGGCACUCCAGGCAUUGCCCACUGCCUCUUCCCAGCCCUAAACCCCAGCAACCUGCAGGGGCAGAGCCGGAAUGACCAGCAAGGGGAGUGAGUGUGUGUGUGUGUGUGUGUGUGUGCAUGCAUGUGUGUGUUUUGCACAUGGGCUGCCUCAAACUGUGCUGUAACUCACUCCUGGGAAGUAAAUGGCACGCCAGCCCUAUUUCCUCCCGUGUACAUAUAAAUGCGCAUAUUGAACCUACCUGCUUGAGAGACAUACUUCUUUAUAUGCCCAUAUGAACCUGGCAAUCUAUGGAAUGUAAAGAAGUAUGUAUUUCAGGUGGGAACUCUUCUCGGAGGAGCAAUGUAUGACCCCGUGUGAAGGGGGGGGGGGGGAGGAAGACAGACAGAUUUUUGUCUUUUUUUUUUGAGAUGCCUGACAUGGCAGACUGGCUGGGGAGUCAAUUGGUGAUCUUGUUCCAGUGCGUGUAUUGUUCUGUCACUUUGCCUGUGUCAGCAGGUGGAAAUGCUCAUCAGGACAUUAAAUAUUCAAUAUGCUGACUGCGGCAUGGGCUUUGAAAGGCGAUGCCAGAGGAAAGCUGGCUGUCCACUCCUGGUUUUCAGCGGGGAUACAGACCAGUCCCUCCGGAUUGCUGCUUCCCCCUCGGCCCUUUUUCCCAAAAAUAAGGCUGGGUAAAAGAGCUGGUCCUUAAUCCUAGGGAAAAGGAAAGGAGUUGGAGGCGGGGAGAAGAAGGGAAGGAGUUGUGACUUGGAGGUGCAGUAUUUUGGCUUCACGUAAAUACGCAGACAGCUUUUGGGAUGUUUCCUGUGUUAAAACUUUUUGUGCUUAAUGCUGGAGAGGAAGCAAUGUUCACUGUGCGUGUGUUGGCCCUUGGACAUGGCCAGUGGGUGCCCAGCUCCCAGCCAGAGGCAGUGAGCGCUCCCAGUGUGUGUUAUUAGAGGGUUAUUAGAGGGAAAUAAGGAAAAUAGCACCUUGAAUUUGAGAAGCUUUCCUGGUGUUCUGGUUUUCCUUUUUAACCUUUCUCAUCGUAAAACACCUGGUUAUUCUCCCAGCAUCCCACGGCAGUGAGAUGCAAUGAUACAAAUGGGUGUAACGUUCUGUGCGAACAAUCAGAACUUUCUGUCUGGGUAGGGGCGGGUGAAGCUUUCAGCCCCCAUUUUCCUCAAGCUUAUGAGAUGCACAUAUCUGGGCUGUUAGGCACUGCAUUUCUCCAUCCCACCUACUCCCAAACUUAUCCCCAUCACCCCGCCGUGCAGCCGAGGGCACAGCAGUGUUCUGCUCUGGAGCAAGUUCCCUCUGGUUUCAGCACAUCUCUGUGCUUGGCAAAAGUGCUCUGAAGGCCUUUGCUGAGCCUCAGUUUGUUGUGAUUCAUGGCAAGCACUGCUGCCACUUGUUACACGUACACCAAAUGGGGUUUAACGGAAAGCAGGCACUUGUGAAUAGCAGGUUAAGUAAGGAGGGCUGGGCUCUUAAGGAGAUUUCCAAUGUACAGAAUUCUGUAAGUUUUAUAAAUCUUUCUUUUUUUAGAAAGAUGAUACAAGUGGUGGACACACAUGGAGUGCUCAACCUCUGCUUGGGGGAGGAGGGACCUCUGCUUUGCCAGGUGCUUUGAGGAGAGGCAUUGUCCCCUGGACAGGGAUGGGUCCCAGCCACUGAGGGUGUCCUGCCCCAGUUUGGGGCCACAAUUAAAUACAAAGGUGCUGGGAAAUGAAUAGAGACGGAGCAGCAGAGUUCCCAUGGCCAAACAGGGCUGCAAUUUCUCUCACUUGUACAUCACUGCUGGGAGCUUGACUUGCUGUGUGAAAAAUGGGGAUGAUUCUCACCAUUCUGGCCACAAUAGCAAUUUCCCUCCUCUCCCAGGUGACCUUUUACCCUACCUCUUCUCGAUUCCCUUUUCCUCACUGCUUUCCUCUCCUUCCUUCUUUCCUUGUCUUCUACUUGUGUGCUUCUCAUUUUCUCCUUAUUUCUAGCUUGCUUUCUUGCUUUCAACUCCGCUCUUAUAUUUUUCUCUUCUUUAUUUUCUUUUUUUUUUUCUCUUUUCUUUCAUUCUCUCAUUGUCUUGCUCUUUCUUUUUCUUGUUUUCUUCUCUUUCUCUGCAUUCUCAGCGCGGGUGUUACUGAGCCUUCCACAUCACUGUGCAUAUCUCUAGCGAAGGUGCUCAUGGUCUGAUUUACAACAGAUACCUGCAUCCCUAAUGCAAUUUUUAUCUCCUUCCCCCUCUCUGAAUUAAUAUGCUUGUUAAUCACACGGAAUUGCUAACUUUAGGAAGUCACUAAGUGUUCAGAUUUAUUUUUAUGUAAAUAUUUUCAAAACCAUAACUCAGCUCUGUCUCACGGUGUGGGAGCCACGUGGUGGAGGUGUGUGGGUGCAGAACACAUCCUGAGACCCUACCCCAUCUCUGGUGCAGUGUGGCAAUGCCAAAAAAUAAAUAGAAAUGCUGUAAAGACCCCAAAACCACGUCAGCCCUUUAGUCAUUAGCAUCGUCCACCAGUUUGCGCCAUUCUUACUCUUAGCUCCAGCUCCUUCUCGCUUUUCUUCUUGUUUGGAUUAAAACUGUGACUGUUCCUCCACACUAGGUCCUCCCUAUUUCUUAGCUUGAAGAAAGCCUCUUCUCCUUCGCUCUCCAUAGAGCAGAGCUGCAGGUUCUGUGCUGAAGCGAGGCGCGAUGCUCGGCUGUGCCCAUCCGUCCCGCAAAGCGCGCACUGAGCGGUCCCACCAGCAGAAACGGGAGCUCUGAGGACUGUAAAAGCCAUAAAUCCAGUGGACCAAAUUAGUUACGUUUUCCUAUUCUAUGCCUCACAAAACCCAUCCGUUCUUGAGAUGAAUUUUCUGCACAUAAGAGGAACUACGGGCAGGUAUAGAAUGGGAAUUUUGCACACGCGCAUGGGAGCACGGGGAUGAAUUCGUGCUGUGUGUUUUCCCCUGAAUUAUUUUUUUCCCUUUCAUGUGUUUAUGUUGAUGAGCUAUUAUUACUUUUGUUGCUAUUACUUAAUACUGGAAGACAGGUGGUCCAAUAAAUCCCAGCACUCUUCUUUUGUAAAAAAAAAAAAAAAAAGGGGGGGGGGGGCAUAUUUGCAAUUCAAGUUUAAUAGUGCAUUCAUCAAGAGCAAUAAAGCAUUCAUUUUAUUGCACGAGUAUUUCAAGGGAUGUGCUGGCCCUGGUGAAAGCAUUAGUAAAGGGGUGCAUCAGCAAUCUCAUUUAAAACUGUCGACCCAAUGUGAAAAAUGUUGCGUUGAAGAAUAAACUGCUAUUAAGCAUGAUUAGAUUGACCUGCAGGACAGAUAUUUUAGCUGCUGCAGCACAAGUCGAUCAAAGUGAGCAUCGCUUAGAUUGCAAAUUUUUUUUUUUUUAAUGCCCUAAAUUAAAAAUGAAAGAGCCUCAGAAUAUUUAGGACCAGAGAGUGACUUUGGGGGUGAGAUUUGUGUGUUUGAUUUGAGGAGGUUUGGAAAGGUGGAGAACGGGGGGAAAACAUAUUAAUUGCUGCCCCUUUAGCAUACAUUGAAAGUAUGUUACUCGGAUCAACCAAUCAAAAAAGAAAUUGUGCUGACUCAGCAUUCGGGCUAGUCUGCACGUCCGAUUGCAGAAGAGAUCAGCACUGCACUGCAGUAUCUUUCCCUGCCUUUGACACCAGCCUAGCUGGGCAGGGCUUCCCUUGUGCUUCCCAGGACUGGGUUAGGCCAAGAACAAGAGCGGGCUCUGAAGAAUCGAGGAGAGAGACAAGGUUGCAGGAGCCUUGAGCUGCUCCGAGGCUUUUUAGUCUGUAAGCAAGAGCUUCCAUGCUAGGUUUGCCCUGCCAGAUGCGAGCGGCAUGUAUUGCUUGGGAAUAUAUCUAUUUUUAAAGAGUUUCACCACAUCUUGCACUUCACGGUGGCUGUGGGCGAGGGGGUGGUGUGUUCCUUGCAAGAGAAAUAUCCUCGCUCCGGAGCUCGCAUCCCUCCCCUGAAAGCCGGGCGCUGAUUUCAGCGAUUCCCUCCCAGUGAAGGCGCUCAGUUUAGCGCUUUCUGCUGAAGUUGCUCUUGACCUGAAGCCAUCAUGCAGCAAGAUGCUUCCCUGUUGGGAUGCAGGGUCAUGGCGAGUGCAGCUCAUUGCACCGCCUGCUUGCUGGGCUGCAGGCAGCUAUGCUGCUCCCCUGCCUUGCAUUCCCCCAGAGGGAGGGGGCUGCUCAUGUAGAGAUGCUGAAGCCAUUGCAGGGAUAGGACUGGAGAAGGUCUUGGUGCAAUUACCCAAGAACAAGCUCAUUCUGAGUGUGUAAUGGCCAAAAUGCAAAGUCUUGUGCAGCCUCCUCAACAGGCAGAGCUCCAAGCCGCCUGCCUCCUCUGACACCCUGUAAUUCUCCAAAGGAGAUUCUGCUCACACUGUGUAAGCAGUGUCAGCAUUCACCCUUGCUUUGAGCUUGCAUUUCUUGCAUAGAGGUCUGUAUGAAGGAACAGAGGCCAAUAGCCAUGUGCACGGGUGGAAGGUUGUCAGAGGACAGACACACUUGGAAUAAGAGGCAAGUUUAUAGUGAAGCUUUUAGCAGUUGGAGCAGUUUUGGUGGUGCUCAGGAUGCUUUGAUGGAAACAGGGUGCCUGACAUCUUAAAACAGAUGCAGCUUUUCCUUUUUUCCCUCUUUUUUUUUUCUUUCUUCUCUUCUCGAAGCACAGCACUCUGCCUGUGCCAUGUCCAGAUAUGGCCUGCGCUGGGAUGGGAGCUGCUAGCUAAAAAAGCCACAGGCAGCCCAGCGGGACCAGCAGCAGCUGGUAUAAAUAGUGCUCAUUCUCAGCUGCCCCUCUGCCGGGCCGGAUUAGGUGGCAUCUGGGCAGCCAGGGGCUCGUGACCACCGGCUGCAGAAGUCCCCAAGCAGCUGUGAGGGCAGGAGCCGUCCCUGCAAAGCCCUUACAUAGGCACGUCGACCCUGGCAUUUGGGGGGUCGGGUAAAGCUACCGGAGCAGGAAUCCGGUGACCUAAGAAUGAUCAGGAAUAAAUUUCAUCGCGGCAUCCAGGCAGAGCUUCCAAUCUGGGACAUGGCCCAAGGUUGGAGGCAGGAUCUGGCCUUCUGCUUUUUACCCCAUUGCAUGCAUGUGGAAUCUGCAGGGAUGGUGAAGCAUUGCUCAGAGUGGCCAAGAUGCGGUUGCGUCCCCCUCUAGGACACAAUGAGUUAAUUUACUGUCAGUGAGAUUAUUGGAAUCUGAUUUAAUACUUGUGUUUACUUCAGGUCAACAAAUUAAAAAAAAAAACAAACCAACACCACAACAAAGCUUAAUAAUUUAAGGCACCAGCUUGAUGGAGGCUAAUAGAAAAUAAUGCAUCUCGUGCAGAGAUUUCCAUCCCAAGCUUGCAGAGCAUGCAGUGUGUGCCCCUCCUGCCAUGCCUGCAGUCAAUGCCAUGGGAAGGGGCGGUGUGGUGCCUGGAGGCAGCUCAUGAUGUAUGGAAGUAAAAAAAUUGAGCAGUGAAUGGGAUUGGUUUGACUGAGUGGAGAUAAACGCGCAGGCAGUAGCUGAAAUGUGAUGUGCGUAGUGGGGGAUGUGGGAUAAAACUCUGUUGGCAUCACAGGUCAGAGUAGAGAGGGUCUGCUGGCGGGCAGGUGAUGCAUGGGUGGGCACAGGUGAUACUCAGCGUAUGAGUAAAGGUUGUUGCAGAGUGUGUUGGGGAUGGUCCCAAAGUGACCACAGUCUGGGUAGGAGAUGCCUGGAGCCUUCAGGUGCACUGGGAGAUGCGGCACUACUCGCAGGGUGAGAUGGCAGUUCCUUAGUGGGGAAUGGCUUCACCGCUAAAUCAGUGCCGGAGCUUUGUCCCUUCCCUUCCUUGCCGUGUCAGGGCUCUGAGCCACACCAGGUUGUGUUCUUUAAUUUAAGCUUUGUCCUAAAGCCUUGUCUCAGAGAUAAUAAGACGCACACACAUACGCACCCACUAAAAUCCAUUGUGCCAUUUUUGCAAAGAACAGCAGAAGCUGCCCGUGUACCUUCCCCUCUCUGUCCUCCACACUCAUUUGGCCUAUUUGAAGUGGAAUUUAUUCCUGGGAAGGUCCCCAUCAAUUUGCCUUGCUCUUUUGUUGACAAGUUUAUUAAAAACCUGGGCAACUCCAUAUUAAACUUUUAUCAGUGUCGAGGAAGAAUACGUCCUUAGAGCGGCCACAAAAGUUAUGGAUUGGAUCUGAACAUUUCUUGUUCCACUGUCCAGCUGAGUCAGCUUAACAAAUAAAAGCUGCCACCUCCAUUUUUUUCCCUUCCUCAAGAGACAGUUCCCUUUCCCGUGUAAGUAACAGCAGCAAUAACACAAGGAGGUUUCAGGGCCGGGCAAACAGGAGCUUUUCUUUGCACCCACCAGUCCUUACUGCUGAUUAGAAUAAUAAUAUUAACAGAAAACAGGAAUAAAAUAAGAGCCCUGCCGGUAGUUAUAGCUUCUUACCUCUGAGCUAAUUGUUUGUGUAAAGUAAUCUCUACUUUAUAGACAAAUAUAUGAAAAAAAUACCCCCCAAAGUUAAUAUGGGUUGUACUGAGAGCAACGUGAGUAGUUUCACAUUUCCAUACCCUGCAAGGGCACGGAGGGUUGGCAGCGCGGCCGGCGGCAAUACUCGGUUGGGGAUGUGCGGAACCGUCGCUCUUAUUCCUUUAGUUGUAAGAUUAAACCAAGAGGAGGCCAACGUGUUGCAGGGGAGAUGUUAAAAAUAAAGCGCUGGCAUCGCAUAACCUAGUUCCUGUUUUGCCUUGCAAUGGAGUUUUUAUGAGUUGAAAGAAACCGGCGAAACAAUCGGUGAGACGGAUUUUGAGCUGCCAGAACGGAGACAGGCAGGGGAGAAGUGAACCGAGUGGUGGCUCUUAACCUCUGCCAGAUAAAUAAAUAAAUAUCUGUCCCCAAACAACAUAUUUCUUGGCCUGUCACCGCGUCCAAGGAUUUUUUAGUUCUUAAACAGGUUUGCUGGCAUAAUUUGUCAAGUACAACAGGGAGGUUUCCGUGUGACAGAGGAUCAUUUUUCACCGCGCACGGUGGGGCACCGAAACAGUCCUGCAGGCUCAGAGCAGCUCCAUAAUUAGAUAACAGUUAACAUACGUGUAUUAGAGGGAUCAUCCUUCAUGCUAUGGGGCACAGCAGAGCCUGCCACUGCCGAUACCGUGCUGUGCCGAAAGCAGGCAGGGAGCGGGCCGGACAAAUGCAUCUUACUCCAGGAGUUUAUCUGCAUCACCAUUUGCUCCAAUUAUAACUAAUUGGACACAUAUUGCAUUUUCAUAGCAUCUAAUUUUCUAUUGAUUUUAACGGGACUGAUGGUGUUUUGUACUGUUAAGUGGUAUCUCGUACCCGUUGUUGUUUAAAAAUGCUGAGUACACUCCCCUGUAUGGAAUUAUGCAGUCAGCAGAUGUUUUAAAACCUCUUUAAUUGUUCGGUCCAUAAAAUGCACAAAGUGUAUUAGGGAACAGCUUUGUUCUCUUUGAGUGUGUGAGUUUAAAAAUCCAAACUCCAAACUAUUUCUGCUGCCAGUUCCAGGAGCUGCAGCUCUCGGCGGGCAGCCCUGUCCCAGGGGUGGGCUCCCUGCUGCAAUGGAUGCUCCGCAGUUCUUAGGCUGUGUAUGAAGCAGGACCUUCAGCUCCAGGGUGAAAUUUGGAUUAAGACGAAGAUGUUCAUAUUGAGAGUCAAGAUUUUGAUAAGGUCACUUGUGGUCUCCUGUAUAACUAAGGAAUAAGCUGGUAAUUGGUAGGAUUUGGGGUUAUAUUCUCUGUUAUAGAUCUUGCUCUCUGUCUCGACAGUACGUCCAAAUAAAACCGGACUAUCAAAUUAGCCACUGCAUUUCAGCAAAUACUCAGUGAAGCAGGAUGAAAGCAAUAGUCCUCUGUUCAGCAUCAUUUAAAGAAGAAAAGAUUUAAAUGAGAUAUGUAGUGGAGGAGCAGAGAGGCAGCCGGGAAAAAGCUUUCCUAGCAUUGAUCAUUACAAGCAUGGUGGAGAUUUGAACGCUUCGGAUAUUGGCAUAUGAGGAAGAAGGUUUUUAUGCUGAGGGCGGUGAAGCACUGGCACAGGUUGCCCAGAGAGGUGCCCCAUCCCUGGAGACACCCAAGGUCAGGCUGGAGGGGCUCUGAGCACUGAUGGAGCUGUGGGUUUCCCUGCUCAUUGCGGGGGGUUGGACCAGAUGGGCUUUAAAGGUCUCUUCCAAAUCAAGCCAUUCUGUGACCCUGUGAUUAAAGGUAGAUAGGGCAGGCAAUAGGAUAUGGGAAUUGUUCUGCCUGGGGUGCCUGUGGGCUGCCAUCAACCCGCUGCCUUCUCCAGCCAUUAGCAAGAAUUGCAUCAUGUUGGUGGGAGACAGGUGGGAUCAUGGAGGUGUAUAAACUAAAUAGACACUUUAUUAAGUUCAGGUAAUAGUUUUGAAAGACUGAGUGGCUACUGCACUGUCAGCAGCUCCUUUAGUGCCCAUAGGAACUGAGUGCUUUUUAAUUAAGUCAAAUAAAAUCCAAGCGGAAGACUUCCCAGCCUUGGCUGAAGCAUAUUUUUUGGGUUGAAUACCUAUAAUUUUAGAAAUGUUAAUAAAACACAGUCCACUUUUUCCCCUGUAAUAAUAUAAAUUAAAUUAAUAUUUUAUGUCUGUAAGAAAAAGGAUAAAAGCACCGAGGUUGUAUUUUCUGGCUUACAAAUGGCACAUUGUGCAGAAUACAGCAACUGUGGCAUUGAUUUAAACAUCCUCGCAAAGACACCAUGCAAUAAAGUUGAAUCAUCUGCAGUACAAGUAUGGCUGUUUGGGGGAAAAAUAGCCAAAUGAGAGAGCAGACGUUUUCCUGUAUUAUCAAAAGCCACUUCAUUUUGGGGAAAAUUCCUCAGAUUUAGUGACAUUUGGAUGGAAAUCAAAUAACACAUUAACUUGAGGAAAGGGAAAAAAACCUUCCAAAGCUAAUUACAGAGGGAAUGUGCACUUCAUUAAGAUAAAGCUGUAAGAAAUCAAUGUUCUGUAUUGUUGUUUUUUCCUUUUGAUUGGAUUUUAGCAUGAUAAAUUGUUAAUGCAUUUGAUCUAAAAAUGAUUUGUUUAUUCAGAUGAAGAGCAACAGUACUUUGUCUCAUUUGGCCUUUUAGCUUAUAAUGAUAAUGAUUUCAAGAGAUGUUCAUUUCUCAAAAGGGUAUUGGACUGGAAUAAGCAGGAGAUUUCUGGACUCAGAAGGAUGGGCCCUACACAAGGGUUCCUUGUAGGCUAAUUCUAUUGCAUGUUGAAUCUUCUGCUUCAUUAGGAAUAUCGACAAAUGUUGAUAAAUUCUUUGGCUAUUCUGUGCUGUCUAUAUAAAACAUCUUCAUUAGAAUGUUGAGGCUAAAGCACAAAGGUCUUCAUUGCCCCAGGUUCUCUUAUGUUGCCCACUUUUGGCCCCACUUGCCAUGGCAGUGCUUUGAUAACACAGGGAUCUGGCUGCUCUCAGAAGUGUAAUCAUGAACUGCAAAGCUGACACUUAGACCAAAAGCAAAACCGAGGCAUUACACAGUGACUGGCAGAGAGGGGAAUGAGAUGCACAGCUUUAUUUUGCUAUUUUGCCUUGGAUUUGCUUCAGAGAUGUGUUCCUAUAUCUCCCCAGUGCCAUUCCACUAUGUGGCCAUUCCUGGCUGGGGCGGUGUCGGUCCCAUGGGCAGGGUCCUAGGGACAGAGCGACCAGAAAGGACCUUCCCAGUGAGACCCAAUUCCAAGCACUGCUGGGAGGAAACAACUGGAUGAGGAUGACCUUCAGACAGCAAACCUAAAUUUGGUGGCGCUGGGUCGCCCGGUCCUUGAACCUGGGAGGGCAAUAGGAAGGGUAAGUGACACCAAAGCCUGGUCUGACUGGGUUUCAGCACAGCUCACACCUUUGAACACAUCCAGCAAAGCCUCUGCAGUUCCUCUUGCUGCACUGCUGGCCGGGCCCAGGUGUGUGGGGGCUGUGAGCCCCAUGUGCUGCAGCCCUGCAGCAGAGGUGUGGGGAUGCUUUUCCUCAGUUCUGGGAAAGCCUCGCCGCCAGAGCCAUCGUUAGUCGUGAUUAAUGGCAUCCAGAAGAGAAAACCUAAUUUUCUAAAAAGGAAAACCUCACUCAUAACUCACUGCAGAGAAUUCAAACAAAACGUUACGGAAUGUCGGCGCGUGCUGGCAUUGAUUUCGGAUGUGCUGCGGGGCACUCCCUGAAGCAAAGCGAGGGGAACAGAGCAGCACUCAUCUCCAGCAGAAGAUGCUUGUUUUAACGCCCUUCCUGCCAAAACCAAUGGGAUGGGGACAGGACAAGGGCACCUGGAGCACGCCAUGCUGAUGUUCGGGCAGUUCAUUGCUCUGCCUCCCAAAAUCCAUAUGCCCGUCAGGGUUUAGCUUGCAGUCUCGGUGCAGCAUCGGUCACUGCUGGCACUUCCACCUCCUCCCGUUCUCUGGUAAAUAAUUACUUCCCUCCCUCCUAUAACUCACCAAAGGAUGAGUUUAAUACUUCUAGGUCCUCACUGUCUAAGUUUCCAUUUAGCUCCUUGGCUUGAUUGUCUCUUGAAAAGGUACCUAGAGAUAACUCGAUUAAAUUAAUUGUAGAGCUCUUUUAAAAAAGAUGUUCUCUCUCUCUUUCGCUCUCUCUCCGCAUUUAUUUAUAGGCAGCUUACAGUACUGGGGCUGGGCAGUUAAGUGAUCUGCACUACUUACUGUUACAAUGCAAAGCCUGGAUUUCUUGGGGACCAGCAAUACCGGCCCACAUGCAAUAUCUCUGCAUGCAGUGCCUUUCAGCACAGAUCUGAAAGCCAUGGAAAGCACUGAUUUUAAAGGUAGAUGAGAAAACUUGAGUUACCAGAAUGCAGGGCACGGGUGGGGAUAGCAGACAAAAGAUCUGAAAGAAAGAAGGCUGGAGGUGGCAAUUAAAUGACCUGGAUUAGGACACUACUCAGUCACACUGUGGUAGCAAUGCAGCUUCAAAACAGAGCCAAACACCGGGUUUAAAAGGCUACAGGCAGGCACUGAGUGCUGCAGACUGUUCCACUGCUUUUAAAACUGCCUCUUUAAUUCAGACUCGCUCUUCAGCCAAAGCUGCUAAGAAGCUUAAAUAAAUCCUGAAUGCCUGAAAGCGAAGCCAUGUGAACCCGUGCAACGUCAGGCAGCAAGUUCAGAAGAGGUCCUGGCGACUGUGAAGGAAAAGGCCCUGAGGAGUUCCCCUCUUUGCUUUGCAGAGCGUGAGGCCAAAUGCUUUGCUAAAGCUGGUAAAAUGGAACCAAAUCAACUGUUCAAUGGAUUUGGUCCCCUUCAACCAGCUGUAGCUGUGCAUUGAUCUCUCAGACGCACCUCGGAGGCUGACCCGGACAGCAGAAGAAAUGGGCACGUGAGAGGGGCCAAGGAGGGAUGCUGAUGGCUGGCGUCUGCAGAUCUGUCACCCGGGCUCUAAACUGGUGGGCUGAGCCCGAGCCAUUAUGUGGCUGCCAGUCAAUUCUGUGUAACGGAGACCACUCAAGAUUGAUAAUCUCUAUCGUCCUCCUGUAUUGAUCCCAGCUGUGAUUCAGGUCUGUGUAUUUCAAGUGCAAAUGCUGUACGUUUUACGUGUGAUUGCUCAGACACCUCCCCCCCAGGAGCCUCGUGCCUGUGUUUCAUCCGCUGCAAUGAAGAAUAAACGUUUUGAUCUGAAGUUCCCUCCUUGUGUUUUGUUCCAUGCGCUGAGCUGCUCACGAAAUGGGAAUUCUGGGGCUGGCAAGGCAGGGAAUGGGGUGGAAGCACCUGCUGCUUCCCAGCUGCCCCAAACUGGCCAGCAAUAUUGGGUGAUUUGAGAGAUAAUAGCUUUGUUCCAAAAAAAGUCUCCAUUUGAAUGUGUUGGGCUUAUGUUUCUAAAGACCUGUGAAGUGUCUGCUGGUCUAAUCCUCAUAAGCACAAAUAUUAUGCUAAUGGACUUAAAGAAAAUCACUGGUUUUCCCCAUGUCAUAAUGAUUGUUGGGAAAGGACGUUGGGCAUCAUCUCUUCCUAAGUACUGUAAAUCUAUAGGACUAUCACAAGCUAUUACUGCUGGUAUAAUGAGCCAUUUGGAUGCAUAAGUCUGAUAUGAGAUUGCUCACAUCUUUACUUUUUAAAGAUACCUGGCCCAGGAUAACCCCUGGCAUUAGAGGAGGCAGACAUUUCUCUCUUUUCUUAUGUAGGAAACUGGGUCGCCUGACUCCAGGUCCCCAGUCCCUCAGGUACCGGUUAAAUGUUCUUAAUAGUAUCAGGAGUAUUCACAUGCUUUAAGAGAUGGAGCUAUUUGCUAGAUUUGAGGUUUAACGUGCGUCUAAUUUUUAUGUCACUGAGUGUUUUAAAGACAAAGACAUGAGGAGCAGUGGAGCUGCAGGAGCAUCCCUCCUCAGCUAAAAGGAAACCCAUGCUUUCCUCUGUAGCUCAUUUUUCUCACCUUAAGUGUCAAAGCGUCUAUGCUGAAGUCCUACUGAAAUCCAAAUAGUGGUUUGGUUGUUGUUGUUUGUUUUUUUUCCAUGUAUUCCGUUAGAUCAGGCAAAUACCUGGUACUUUUUCCUGAGAACAAGUUGGGGUUGAGGAGCAUGUGCAGAGCUGAGGGCUCAGGUCUCCAGCUCUCCCCUUUGGGAAGCAGUAAUCGCUUCUCACACUGAAAAGAAUGCUUGGGUGUCAAAAGUUCCCUCAGAGUGAACAGCAUACACUGAGAAUACCUUCCAUGCUGAAAUCCCCUCUUGCUGCAGCCUGGGCAGUGAUGACAGAUAAGUUUCUAGGGAGCUUCUGGGAAGAUAAGUUGUUUGUUCUGUUAUUUUCUUCUUUUCCUGUGGUUCAUCAAUCUCUUAGUGUAAAUAUGUCGGGGAGGAGAAGCAGUUGUAUCAGCACUGAUCAGGUAUAUUUGCUGCAUUCGUUCUGAAAAAUGCAUAAGUGGGAAGCUGUGCAUGAACUGUUGGAGGAGGAUGUUCUCCUUCACACCACCCUGGAAAUAUAUAAAAGAAAUAAUAAUUAUUAUUUUUUUUUUUCCAAAAAUGCAACGUCUCUACAAACACCCACCAGUGCAUCCAGAAGGGCUUUAUCCUUGUCUAAUAGGAGAUGCCCAAGCCCUUACAACAUGAAGUUGCAAAUAUUUUAGCCUGUAAACAGAGGAAAGUGAGUAGCUCCAAUGAAUCCCUGCAGCAUCAUGGGGCAAAUUGACAUCCAUGCGCAGGAAGGAUGCUUGUAGCUUUACAGCCACAGCACGUGGCAAAAUAGCCAAUGGUCACCACCUCUGCAGCUGCAAGCUGCAGGCACGCAUUUUUGCACACUCCUUUCCCUGCCAAUUGUUUGCUUUGUAAUCAACAGUGCUGGUUUCUGGGCAUUAUCCAAUCCCACCCCCUAAUUUUGCAUCAAGUGAAAGCAUCAGUGAAGACAGGAAUGAGCGUGCAUGCAGAAUCGCUGUGCAAAUGCCACCCUAAAGCUCUUGCUGCCAAACCCAAGAUUCAUAAGCAAGGAAGGAUGGGGAUGAAAGCACUGGGGAAAGGAAUCUCCAGCACAAACAGGCAGUUUGGGCUGUGGGUGAUACUGGGACAGGUUGAGUAGAACCGGGUGCUUCCAGCAGGCUGUGGCUUGGCUUUCCAAAAUAGCAUGCUCCCCACUCCUGCAGUCUGGGUUAUUCUCCCUCACUCCCCAAGGCUGCAUUCGGUGUAAACAGCACCUUUAUUAAAAUUCUUCCUUCGGAAUGUUAAUUAAAUUACUAAAAAAUGACAAAUGGGGAAGCUGAAGACAUCACAACUGGAACAAAACCACGGAAUGUAACUGAAAAGGUUUUCUCCUGGUGAAGCAUGGGUGGACAAGGGCUCACCUGCUGCAGCAGCUCAGGGUGAUUUCUUUUAAUGGGGCUCCCAGGCUUUGGCUGUUGGCAUCUACACAGAUCCCAGGCACAUGUUCCUCUGCAGGAAAUACUGAAAGCAUUUGUUGUCCCAGAAAUCCUCCCAGAAGAGUUCUGGAUAUAUAUGGGAACAGCGGUAUGCAUCCAUACAACAUGUUAUAUGGGAGUACAUGGCAUUUUAUCAUCUGAUGCAGUUGUUGUGCAAUGAUGUCACACUACUUUGAUCACUCUAUAAACCCGUGUGCCAAAACAUCACCUUGGUCUGUGUUUUGGUACCCCACAGCCAUCUGAGCACUGAAUAGUAGGAAGCUUCCAUUUCACUUGAAGCAAGAAGAUGGAUGUGGGGAUUUUAAAGUUGGGCCAUGUAUUUAGGAGCUUAAACAUGGAUCUCACCUUCAGACAUCUACGUUUGGAAAUUUCUGCAGGUAUAUUUAUUGGUUAAUUAUAUCUUUAUGAAUGGGAACUUCAAUUCACUUAAUAAGGAAUUUGUAGAACGAUACAGGCUACUAUGAACCAAUGCAAGAAAUGUGGGGGCCAAGCCAAAGGCAGCUGUUAGACUUUGGGGGAACUUUCCAAGGACUGCUAAUAUACAGGGACAAACCUAAGACCAGGGCCAAAAAAUAAUUGCUAAUAUUCCUCCCAACAGUUUGUCUGUCAAACCUGUUCACCCUCAAAUCCCUUCUGAUGCUCUGCAUAGGAGCAAAUGGAGCUUCCAUUUCAACCAGGACAUGGACCUACCCAGGGUGUGAAAACUGGAUCCUCUCCAGUUGGCUUCUCAUAAAGCACAGCUCUGAGUGGAAGUUCUACCACUGACUUUGAAUGCCCCAGCAUCAGGCCCUGGCUCAGGGACUGCCAUCCUUUAGCCAACCACCCUGUAACUCCAUCAGGCCUAAUUGUCCUUCAUAGCCACUAACAGGCUGAUCUGAUGGCCCUCCAGACCCUGCUGGUUUCCUAGAAACCCUAUUAGCUUCUCAAACAAAGCAAUGCUGAGGACUCUGUCUUGCAAACCUUUUGUGCAAAUAUUAAAUAGCAGUGGAUAAUUAGCAGGAAUAAUCUUUUUUUCUUGACCUCUUCUGUAAUAAAGACCUUUGUCAGCAAAUGCAAACGUUAUUUUGAGCAGUAAUUCAUAAUCUAAAUCUGCUAAACACACCAGACUAAAUACACCUGCACUCUCAUAUCCAUAGUGUUUGUACAGGACUUUUAAAAGGGAUACAGACACAUUAUCUGUCCCAAAGACCUGAACACAUUCAUCUGUCAAGUGAGGCAGAGGAGGUGGCAAAAGAGGUGGUACAGAAGGGAAGAAGGAAAAUAAAACAGUAAAAAAAAAGUGCACAAAUAAAUUUACCCACUAAUUUAGAUUACACCUCUUGGGGCUCUACUCAUGCUUUGUGGGUAUUCUCCAAAUGAACUGCACGGUCCCAUUAACACCAAGAUGGCUAGCAAAAAAUCAGGUUGGCUCUCUUCCCUAAAGACAUCAUCCUCAUCCUUUCUUACCAGGAGAGAAAAAUCAAAUGGUUCCUUCAGCUUGUUGAGCAGGACACAAGCUUUGGACUCUUCCAGCCUGUUUUGGUUUCUCCCUCAAGACAAGCAGAGGGGUCUAAUGACUCUUGCCUCUUCCUCCCUAAUCUUCUAUUUAGCAAUAUCCUCUCUGGAAAUCCCCGAAAGAAAGGAGCUAGAAAUUGUCCCUCUCCUUUAGCAUUAGACCCACUUUUACCUUUGGUGGUCCACCAAUGCAUCUCUGGGCGCAGCAAUCAGAUUAUGUGGAUUUUGCCCACGGCAUUUUACUCUGCAGGUCCUUUUCCUUUGUAUGGUUUUUUUUUUCUUCUUCUUUUUUCUUUUUUUUUCUUUUUUCUGAGAGGAGAAAAAAAGAAAAGACAAGCAAACCAACAGGCAGAUAAUUGUUCUGUGCUGACAGUUUGUCAAGUGAAGGAAGUGCAAUUUUAGUCGAGAGAUCUACAUUACAGCGUUACUUGAGCAGAAGUCUCUUCUUUUACUCCCAGAUGGCAUUGACAUAUAGCCUGGAGGGGCUAUCAGGGUACAAAGCUAAAGAUGGUUAAAGACAUUAAAAACUGUACAAUAUGAGCACCGUCUACACUGGGACCAUCACCUAGGAUGAAGAUUCACCCUGACGUAUUGGGCAGAAAGCAAACUGAGCUGAAGGUAUUUUCAAGAUACAUGAAAAAAAUAUAUAUAUUCCUGCUCCUAACCGUGUCUUUUCUAGUGGGUCUUUAUUGACUCUUUAAAAACUAUGACCAAUAAAUGUAAUGAUCUGCCUUCCUCUUUCUUCCUGGGUGAAUGAUGGCUCCUGCAGGGUGUUUAUCACUGAGUGUAAUGGCUGGUUGAUCAGUUCGUGUCCAACUCCACUUCCCAGCAAGCUAUUGAACGCCUCCUCCUUGUCACGGGGCCGCCAGCAUUUCCCCCAUCCUGCCAGAGCUUCUGUUAAGCCGUAUAAUAAAUAUUGCACUCAGAACAAGAUUGUAAAUCUUGCCAUAGGACAGAGGGUAUUUGCUUUUCUGCCUUUCUUGAGUUUCGUGUUGCCUAAGUUGCUGUAAUGUACUUAAGCAGAGAACAGACUUAAUGCUCUUGCUUUCUUUUUAAUAAGAUGCAUAGCUCAUUUAUCCAGUAGGUGCAGCUGGAGGGGAAGAGAACUGCAAAGAGGGGACUUCACCUGCUGGAAAAUAUUCUCUACUUCCCCCAAAAGUGAUGAAAAUGUCAAUACUAUUGACACAAUCACUAAUUAAAAACGACUGCCAUAAUCAUGCAUAUGACAGCCGUAGGACAUCAGUUUGGAUUAAAUGUGAGCAGCAAGUUGUGCUGCACAUGGUUUCCAAAAGCAGAAAGGGCUGGGUGAUGUUAUCUGCUGUUGGAUGUACAUCCAAGAGAGAGAAGGAUGCUCUUAAACAUAGUUGCUCUUCUUUGCACAGCCCUGGUGCUUGCAUGGCCUGAAUUCUUCGCAGCAAUGAGAAAAAAGUGCGUCUGUUUUUACUUCCUUGUCCAUGUUUACUUAUUUGACUGAGGUUUAAGCAGUGCCCUCUGCUCUGUACAUAGUGUGGGCACCCAAUGUGCAGGCAGCCAUCCCAGCAGCUCAGUGCUCGUGCAUUGCUCCCAUUGAGUUGUAGUGACACCUCAGGCUGGGUGUGCAUAGCCUUUCCUCUUUCUCUCAAGGAGUAAAAUCCUUUUAUUUAGGGGUUUUAGCAUGCAGACUUACAACAAAAAAUAUCUUGUCAAUGCCCCACUUGGAUUAUUUCCUUACGCAUCGGUCUAACCGGGUGAGAAAGAAUUCCCAUUUAAAUGCCUACGGUUCUUGCAUUAUGCCUGUGAUAUGAAUGCAUGCCCAGGCAUCUCAUCUACUCCAGGUCAUUGUCUUUAAUUGGACAAGACCAAAAAUAAACACUGCGACCUUCCACAUAGUCCCAGGGGCUCCAGGGUGGGAUGGAGCCUGUUGGUUCUUAUCUAAGCAGAAAUGUGAAUCACUAGGAAAGUGUAUGUGCCUUUUCAUGGUGUGGAGCAUGGACCAAUGAGCCCUAAACCUCAGGAAGGACAGAAAGAGGGCCAACCCUCUGAGUAGGGAGAGUUGUUAGUCUCAGACAGAAGGAGGACAGCAUUCAACAAUUGACACUUCCCAAAUCUAAUCAGCCUGACCCCAAAACUACCAUUGGAAAGGCUUACGAUAUGUGCCCGUCUCCAUUGUAUAGCAGAGGGAGGAGUGUAAAGCUGUCAAUAAAAACUUGAAAAAAAGAAAGAUUUUAAGAAACCAAGGAACAGAAAGAAUGUGUUAACUAAGAGUUGGGCAGAGUGCUUCCAUCCUAGUGGUGGUGGAAGAGCCAAAGGUUUCCCAGUGAUGCACUUUUUUCAUUUGAAACCCUUGGUUGUUCCACCCAGCGUGCAGUUUGACAUUGGGAGUUUUUUAUGUGGCAUGUUAGGAGGUCCUCAAGCAUGAACUAAUUGAUUCAUGAGUGGAUGAAUCCGAUGCAUCUUUUAAAUGGAAAACCGACAUCAUUCUCCAUCAGAGAUCCGCUAAUAAAGCACAUUUACUUGGUUAAUCCAUUUUUUUUUUUCUGUGCUAAGUGCACUGUAUAAGGUAUAAAAAUAUCAAAUCAAUAGGCAAAGAGUAUAUAAAAACAAGUGAGCAGUGUGAGCCACCCUUGGGUGGGCUCCUUGCAGGACCUGAGUUGGAUCCCACUCCCAACACUGCACAGAGCAGCGGGGCUGCAGUGCACAGCUGUCCCUAUGAGCCCCAGGGGACAGCGGGUGCAGAGCCACCUGCUUUGGGGCCUCGUGGCACCACACUGCUCCCUAUUUUAAGCAGUAACUGGGUUAAAGGUGUCGGGUUAAUCUCCUUCUCUCAUUUGCUAGGAUUAUGAUAUUUAUUAUAGCAGAAGGAGCAGAGAAGCAGGAAUGCGUAUGGAAGACAGAGGCAUCUUCCAGCUCAGCCUGCACAAAUUCCCAUUUUUUUUUAAUUUUUCCAGGGGAAUACAGCAGUAUUAUUUCAGAGCAAAUGCCUGCACAGCCCCGUCUCUGCAAACACCACUCGAUCAGUGCAACUCUCUGGUGUGAGCUCAUUUAACAAGCGGUUGCCUUGCAGGCUGUGGAGAAUUGCCUCUUACCUAAUAAUUCUGCUAAUUUGCUUAACUUUCCCAGAUUGCAAAUGGCCCUGCCCUGAACAAGCAGCUUUCUAAAUGAACCCCCAGACAAUUUCUUGACAAGAAGGGAUCGGAGAGGUGCCUGCUCGGGGAGCUGAAGCUCUCAGCCUUUUUAUUUCUGACCUUUGGGCUAGCAUUCAGAUUUGCUUGUUGGGAAAACUGCAUUCCAAGUGUAUUUUCUUCAGGGAUUUACAAUACCCUUCUGCUUGUAAUUAUUCUCACCUGAUGUCUUCCAUAAAUUAGUUAAAGAUGCUUCUAUUAGUGAGCUCCCGUCCUGUUAAUUAUCGUGCUGCAGUUCCUUGCUGGUGGCCGCUCUGCAGCACCGGGGCUGCAUCCGUGCAAAGCUCCCGGCCGAGAGAUCAGGGAUGUAGUGUGUGGGUAAUACAAACGUCUGAGCAAUCUGGGAAAGAAAUGAAAACUGCUGUAAAGGUAAAUGUCAGACUAUUUAAAGACAAUGUUGACUAUUGAUUUUUCGGACGAGACUACCUCUUCAAAGGAUGGCAAGCGUUCCUUCGGAUCCAGACGAGCAAAAAGUUCCUCAUCACAGAACUCCAUGAAAAUGCCUCUCAGCCUCCAGGCAGAGCGGGUGCCUCUGUUCAGCAUGGAGGGACGCGGCUGUCACCGUGCCAGGUGUGACGCGGGGCUGCAUCAGAUCGAUGGCACGGCCGCAGGAGAGCUCACUAGUGAUGCCAGGUUUAUUUUGGAAGCUAAAACAAUGUAAAAUCAACACGGCACGCACUAAACGGAUGAAAACCCCACUGAUAUGUUUAAAUGUACGGCUGCGUGCAGACACUCAUCACAAGUGGCUGUGUUUCAGUUCAUCACUUUUAGCAAAAUGGUAGAAAAUCAAAACUAAUUACAAUCAAAGUUCGCUGAUGAGUUCGAUUUGGAUCAUGGUGGGGCUGAGGAUCAGCCUUCUCCUGAGUCAGAUUGAAGAAAAAACCACCCAGUUCAACACAGGCACAUACAAAGCCACACUUGGGAACUGGAAUUUCAUGGCAUUCAGGGGGAGGAGGGAUCCUAUAGCACAGCGCUGGAAGCUCAAACAAAUAGCAGAGUGGAAUACCUCUGGUGUAGCAUCUGCUGGGACCCUGCAGCUAUUUCUGGUGUCUGCAGCUCAAGAAGGAUGUUGAUGAAUGGGAGAGGGCUCCGAGGAGGCACACAAGAAUGACGGAAGCAUUGCAAGACAUGCCUUAUAGUGACAGAUUCAAGGACCCCAGUGCGCUUAGCUUAACAAAGAGGAGGUUAAGGGAUGGCUUAAUGACAAUCCAGAUGUGCUCAGACAGACAGAAAUGGAAAGCUCUUCAAUCGAGCAGACAGAGCAAUAAAAAGAGCCGGUAACUGCAAGCUGACACUGCAAAAUUCAUGCUGGGACAGGUGAACUUCUUAAACGGACAGAACCAACACCAGAACCACUUCCUAAGAAGCAGUUUCACCAUCUUUCACCAUUUCAAAUUCAUAUGGAUUUGUUUUUGUUUUGUUUUUAUGUAUAUCUCAGAUCCACCAAAGAUCACUCUUUAAAUGAACACUCAGAGACCCACACGGCAUGAACAGGAUUCGCCUCCCCUGAUUUCUUGAUGGCCUUAAUUAUGAGUAUUUAAGACAUCAUCCCUGAGCACUGAGUGGGACGACCCCCUCCUUUUGGAUCGUGGUCAGCCUCAGUGGUGACUCUCAUGGGCACCUCAGCUCUGCCAGAGGAAUGGCUCUGUGGUUCAGAAGCUGCUGGAAUUUCUCCUUUCAUGGAAGUUCCUCACAAAAGCCUUUGGUGCAGACGACUCUUGGGCAUCUCCAGAACUACCCUUUGGCUUCUCCUGGGGGCUGUCUUGUAAGCCCCAGUGACAUCUUUCAGUGCAGCUGGGGACAAACAGCAGCCCCCUACAUUGCUGCACUUGCCAGAGCUGCCUGCAGGAACCUCUCUUGAUGCACACCAGCCUUGCUCCAUGCCUCUUGCUGCUGCUAAUGCCCGCGAGCAUCUCACCUUUUGCAUCCCAUGGUUGAAGGAUCAGCAGGGAACCAGGAAGCCCUGAGGUUCUUGGUGAAGUCUUCCGUUUAACUCCUGUUAACUGGGAUUUAGAAAUGCCUCUUGGCUUUGGAGCACUUGGUGAAGGCUGGGAGAAUCACUGUGACUUACUCCUAUCUCAGUUUGCACUGAAUUAGCAAGAAACGUGCAAUUAUCAUAGAGUCAUGGAACAUUUUGAGUUGGAAGGGAUCAGUCCUUGUGGCACACUACUUUUGUUCCCACAUUUGUCAUAAUAAAUGGAGCAGAAUAUUAUUACCUGUGCCAAAGCCCUGGGUGAGUCUGGGCUCUCUGAUGGCCGCUGGUUUCACUGCUGCCCAAGACUGGUAUUGAAGCAGACCCUCGGAAACAACAGCACAUUGUCAAUAGCAUGUGGGACAUUAUUAAUAAACACUAGGGAGCUUGAUAUGAUCUGGCAAAAGCAGCACAAUGAAAACAGGUACCAAAAGAAGGAUGGAGAGAAAGGGAAGUGAUCUGAACAGGGUGUUUAAUGACUCACCGGGCUGCGAAGCGCAGUGGAGAGCAAGGGUGGAAUAGAAAACAUUUUAAUGAAUUCAGCAUGCGCACCCUCUGAAGGCUCAGCUCCCCAUUCCCCAGCAAUAUUUGACCCACCCGAAGAUACUGAUCACACCGAAAUAAUAACCAGUUUCUUUUCACUUCCCAGAACUGCAGCUAGCAGAGCGGGAAUGUGCCAGGUGAGCAGUUGAAGCACAGCUAGAAAAGGAUUGCUCCUCUGGUGCAAGCAGGGAUUUAGCUGAAAAAUACUGAGUUACUGGAAGUCUAAAAGUAGGCACUGUUCCAAGGUCAGGAGACUGAGCGUCACCUCACUCAGUGGUGCACUUUCCAUCAGAGGUAAAGCACUUCUGCUGUCCUGGAUCCAAAGUAAAGCCCAGACACUUGUAUUUAUGUUGUUCUAAGCUGUAUAACAACCCUAUUUAACAGAGAUUUUAAAUAUUCAUGGUUAAAUACUAUGAAUCAAAAAAAAAAAAAAAUCCCUUAUGCAGGCAGUUGUUGAAGGAGUUGGUGAGGGACUGUGUGCCAACAUGAGCACGCUGCUCAGAGCUCAUGGCAUCAGAGUGAACACAGAGGGAGCUUCUUUCCCCCAAAUGAUAGGCUAUGAGAAGUGCUAUGGCACUGGUAGAAGGAAGGAGAGAAAUGCCAUGGAGGAUGUGGGUGCCUUGCCCCUGCUCUAACCUGCAGCCAUGAGAUAUGGAAUAUAUCUAGGAUCACAUCUCUGGAAGGUUAAAUGCAGACAACGCAAGGGCUCCAAAAGCUGCAGGCAGCAUGGGGCAUUAGCCAAGGCACAGCUUUGCUGCAACCUCGUUUUCAUGAUUUAACAUUACUGCUGUAAAUAAUUGAUACUAAUGUGAGAUAAGAGACAGACUGUCUGUGGGCCAGGAGGAAGUGGAUCCUGGUGACAUCCACCCAAAAAUGUGCUUGCAGAUUUGGCUUGAGUGAAAGCGCUGAAAAGCCAAACACCCGAUCUGAGAGGCAGGGAAGGGAAGAGGGAUAGGAAAGGCAAGCUAGAUCAACUCAUAGGACUCCCAUUUUUCAAAAGAAAACUCCCUGUAUUAGUUCCUUCAACAAGAGAACAUCAGCAUCACCUAUCGUUGGUUAGCUUGCCAAGGUUUGCUCUUGCACUAGUCCUUAGGACAUGCUCAUGCAUUGUCAGAGGGUGGGAACCAGGGCGGGUAUGGGCAUGGUUUAAGGAACCAGUUUUGUAAGAAGGUACAAGAGCAUCCCUCCUCAUCAAGGACACGAGAACCCCAGAGUGCUCAAUAUACUUUAUGCCUUUGGCUGUGGUUAUCUACAAAUCAGCUGAGCACCAGGAAGGAGCUAUCCAGAAUCUCAGUCUUUGGAACCAGAGAUGGAGAACUACCCAUUUGGUCCAGUGAGGACAGACGUGAGCCAGGUGAUGGAUUCAGUGCUCUGGAAACCCACCUGAGCUUGAGAUGAAUGGGCCACAACGAGGCUGGAGAUGGGGAUAUCCCUGCUGGGAACCUCCCAGGGCCAUUGGACUGCAUAAGGCUCUAAAUCCCAGAGUUGAUGCUGCCUUCGGCAUUUCCCAUCCCCUGAGCAGCCAGCAUGAUGUCAAGCCGGCUUUGAUCCUGCCUAGGACAUAGAAAAAGAGAUAACGCCAGCUGAAAAAAAAAUAAUGGAAAAUGGUGUUGAGCCACCCUUAAAGCUCUCUGCUAAACUUUCUGCUGCAUCACCACCUUCACGCAACCCCUGUGUUGCUCCCCAGCCCAAGGACCUUCCUUUACCCUCACUGUAAGGACAGUUGGUGCAGAGCAGAGAUGCUCUUUGCACCCCAGCUGCCCGGUUUGCUGUCUGGUGAUGAGAGCAUCUCCUUCCCUGCUUAAUGCUGGAGCUGAGAUCCUGUGCUGCCUCCAUAGAACUGCUGCAGCAGGAUAUGAAUUAUGGAUGCAAUGAAAAAUCCCAGCGCAUUGCACAGAGGGAAUAUGCAAAGUGCAAAGCAAUCACCUCUGCACGAUGCACGAGCAUUGCCACACACUGCCAUUGGAUGCCCAAAAACUGUACCCCACCAUGACCUGCACCUCCCUCAUCCCGGAAAGGCACCGGGAUCCCCUCCUCCUGAGCACUCCAGGGCUGGAAAUGAGGACACCCAUCAUGUGAAAAACACCUCUUUACAUACUGCGGAGGCACUCAGGGCACAGGAGGGGGCCUCACUGCAUUCACAGGCAUUCAGGGGAUGGGUGUCUGCUCUCUAUGGGUAAGGGCUUACCCUUGGGAGCUCUGGCAGAGCUUUGCCUGGAGCCAAAGAGCCCACAUAUGUUGUUUGCAUCCUCCUCCUGUCAGAGCCCACUGCCGCUGGAGCAGAGAAGUGUAGGACAGUUCUCCACAGACUAAUUUGGGGGGGCUGUAGUGUGCGGAAGCUCUCCUCAUAACUUCUCUUUCAGAAGGCUUUUCCUUUUUAUUUCUUUUAAUUUUCAAAUGCUCCGAUUCCUCCCCUUGAAGCACAGCUCGUUGCCUCCGUGCACCAUCUCAUAGCACACUGCAAAAGCGUUGCCACUUUCCAGAGCCAUUUCUGAGCAUGCAAUAUCAACAUCUGUGCUAAAAGCAAGCCAAAAUUUUUCCCCGAAGCGAUAUUUUGCUUGGCAUUAUUGUUCCUUUUUCUUUUUAAUGGUUUGCUUGUCACGGGGACUCCUCAGCCUUUUAUACUCAGGAAAUGCAGAAUGCUGCUUCCCUCCCUGCUGCAAGCAGGAGCCAGCGGUGAGCACAGCAUGCAGCUCCCAUCCAUCCCACGGUGCCAGAAGGUUGGGGAAAUGCCUUGGGUCACAUAGGGCCCCAAUUAAUUACAACAGCCCCCCAUGAAUGGCACUGUAAAUUCUUGUUCCUUGUGUUAAAAAAGUUACGAGUGUUACUUAGCGGCCACUAAAAUUAUACAGCACUGCAGCACUGCGUUUGCUGCUGUGUGCUCACUGCCUUUAAAUGCCACAGCCAGGCAUGGGAUAGAUGGGAGGCACAUGGGCAUCCCUGGAACCUGGCUGCUGGCUCUGCCCAGGCUGCAGCUGACAGUCACAGAGAAGCAAGUGCAGUGCAGAGUUCUUUCUGCCUGGGGGUAAGCACUGAGAUGCUGCUAUCUCUGGCUCAGUGUCAGCUGCAGGUAUCACUGUUCCCAGGGCAGGCUGCAGGAUGCUAUGGAGCUGGAGACUGUUUUCACUGAAUCAUUAAGGUUGGAAAAGACCUCUAAUGCCAUCACGUCCAACCCCAAUCCAUCCCACCAUGCCCACUAAUGUCCCUCUGGGUCACAUCUACCCUUUUCUUGAACACCUCCAGGGAUGGUGACCCCACCACCUCCCUGGGCAGCUCUACCAAUGCAUGACUGCUCCUUCUGAGUAGGAAUUUCUCCUGAUAUCCAGCCUGACCAGGAUCAGGUGGAGGAUGGUUGAAAAGGAAGAAGAACGACCAGUAAUAGGGCUCUAUAGCACCUCCGUCCGUAAAGAGUAUGACCAAUUUUCAGCUCUCAGAAGCUAAAGCAGGACUGAUGUAUAAAGUCUACUUUGGUUUCUCCCUGGUUUAUGUCUCUGACACCUUGCAAAGUCUUCGGGAUGUCAGGACAUAGCUCUGCCCUUCUGUACAGGUUUCCUUGGAGGAUUUCACACGGUGUUGGUGCAGGCAGCAGUAGCAAUGUCUGACAGCACUCCCACGGCAGCUGCAGGGCAGUGAGCAGCAGUACAGUUCUGCCUUCUCUGCUGGCAAUCUUCAGCUUUCUGGGCAAUUAUCUUCUCCCCCAUCAUCCUGCCCAGCACACAGCUGGUUGGCAGAGCUAAUUGAUUGGUGUUUGUACAGGCUUUUGGGUUUCUCCUGUUAAGUAGGUGUUAAAUCUCAUUAUUAUUAUUAUUAUCUUCUGUCAUAACCACAGUGAUGAACGUCCCCCUGUGCACGUACUUAAACUACCCAAUGUGGGCUGCCUUGUUCUUAAUUUUGAUUAUUUUAAGAAGUCUUUUAGCACAUCAAAUUGCCUUGGUGGAUAAAGAUUUAUAGCAAAGCCUUGGGAGCUGUCAGAGUAAUGUUUUUCCAGCAGCAAAAACUUAACCUCCUCUUAGAUCUCUUUCCUGCUUUGUCCCACACUUCUCCAUGUGAUGAAGGGAUGCUGAGGCGUUGCUGGGUGCAGCUCUUGGGAUGAAGGAAAUGUGCUGUCAGUCCUUUUAUUUCUGAUCCCAUUUGAGUGUGUCACUCAGCUGUCUCAAAUCAAAGAGGGUGAGAAGGUGCCUUAAACUGCUGUGAUUGGAAACUUCAAACUCACCGUGUCUUCCAGACGCUAAGUAAAUGGCUGGUGGGCUCUUGUAAAUCACAGCAUUUCUAAAUAUACCAGAGAGUCUCUCUGCCAAGAUGCUGAUGAACACUGCGUCUGUUCCUAUUGACUUCUUUUCCCCCUUCAGAUUCCUUUUGCUUUGAAUAAUUUCAAAUCAUAACGCAAAAAAAAAAUCCUGGACUCUUAGCGAGACUCAGUGAUGCUGUGAUUAAUGAAAACGUAAUGAGAGCUACCAUGCAGCCAUUACAAACCAGUUAGCUAAUUAGUCUAAUCACAGAGGUGGAAAUAAUUAAAAGACCAUAAAGUAGAGGUAGCCUAAUAACAGCGUUUUCCUCUGACCCAGAAGUGAAGAGAGAAGGAUGCUCUGUUCUAUCUGGUUUACUGGGUCAGCGCCAGGAGGAGUGGGGAGUGAAGGGCCCAGAAGAACUGCAGUGCCUGGGCUGGAUCAGACAGGGAAAACAGAGCAGCCUUACACCACUCUGCCCUUACACCACUCUGCCCUUACACCAGACUGCAGCUGAGUCCUCAACUGCUUCAGAUGUGUACUUGUAAGGUAGGACCGGUCUGCACUGGAGAAGCACACCCUGAAACCCUGCCCUACUUCUGCAAGGGUCUUCCAGCCCGGGCUGCUAAUGAGAGGCACAGGGCAAUGUGCAGAGCUGGAUUUCACCCCGUAAUUAGCAGUGACCUACCUCUCACUGCUGGAUGGAAUGGCUCCGUUUGAUGGGCUGUAAAAAAUCCUAACUGGUAAUUUUCCAGUUGGGAUGGGUCAUGGUUAUGGCCAUCUCCAUUGGCUCUUAUCAUUUCCGCCAGGGGUUUGUGUGCAUCCCAUUUGACCCGAUUAUAAUGAGCAAAGAAGAACAAAGGAGCUGCAGACACACAAUCAACGAUCAUGUGCUGAAGCUGAUGAAUACGCCAAGUCUGCUAAGUGGCUCCUCAUCAGCUAUUCACGUGCUGGGAGCCAUCUUUAUUUGCUCUUCGUCUGUAGGUGAAUCUAUUUUUGUAGCUCUGUUUUGGGGGUGGGAGGGUGGAUGGAGGCAACCACCGCUGUCAGGUAAAGACUACGCUUUCCUGAAAAAUCAAACGGUGACACCAAGUUGGCAGUGACCUGAAAAGAAGAAACGAUGCCAUGUCAUUUAGAGAAGGAAGAAAUAAUAUUCCCCAGUGACACCCCUGGUGGGAGGCAGAAUUUUACCUCCCUGCAUCUCAAAUGAAGCAUCACAGCAGCAGCACUGACUGUGCUUCCGUGUUUCCAGAGUGACUUUUCAUUAACCUUAUUUUAUUUGCUGUAGCUGCAAACAUGCUUUCAAGGGUAGGAGCAGGGGCUGUCCCGCUGGGAGGAUUUGCAGGAUGAAAUGCAAGCCCAGGACAUCCCACCUGGAUCCUCUAGCUGUGACAUUGCUGCAGAAGGAGGGAUGUGUCCAGGGGUCUGUGCUGCUGCAUGCCAAUGACUGCCCAAUUUCUGCCCUUCCAGCACCUCUUCUUAUUCAAUCUGAACGUGUGGGUGAGCAGCACACCCAUCCCAGGGCUCUGUUCCAGCUGAAGCUGUUUCCUGCUGCAGGCUGUGUGGGUUCAGCAGCACGCUGCUCCAGGAAAGCAGUUCUGUACAAGCAGCAACACACAGGCUUGCACCGCCGGCGUUUGCAAACAGCUGAUCUAGAGAGAUUGCUUUUUUUUAUUUAUUUCUUUGUGCUUUUGACCUUAUUUGUUGAAAAUGAAACAUCAUGUAACCUUCCAGGAAAUGCCACGAAUCUUCGAUCUGACAUGAGAACAUAAAUCUCCAGUGCGUGUGCAUCAGUUCCGGUCAGGUUUUCAGGUCUUAGCUAGAUCAGAGUGCAGUGGGAGCAUCCCAUAUUGGGGCCAGCAGGACCCAAGUUCCUCACCUGUCCUGUCCUUGUAACAGCAGUCCCAUGGCAUUGGUUGUUGCCUGUGGACCAGGCUGGUUUUCCACCCGUUCUUUGUAGAAAGAAUGGGAUUUCUUGCACCUGAAUUGAAGUGUGAAAUUUUAAGGGGACGGGUGCAGCUCCUCCCUCCCAGCUCCGGCUGAAAGCAAGCACUGCCUCACAGCUCUGAGCAGCCCCCACUCCAACAGCCAUCUCGGGGAGCAGAAGGUUCUUGUGCUGUUGGGAACUGAGGCUCUGCAGCCCCGACCACACAGAGAGGUGGGG
rnacentral:lncRNA from 1 species